GUCUGAUCUCUGCAAGCCAGGGGGGAUAUUAAAAUAAAUAAGCCACAGCCACUACCUGCUCCUCUUGGCCACUGCUGAUUCAUUUAUCUUUUGCAAUGAAGAAACUGGGGCAGAGAAUAAAAACAUUUUCAUCUGGAUGAGCCAACAGUUGGCUCCUAGAGGGUCAGCUGGUAUCCUGUGCCCCACAGAAUCCCUGGGGAGCUGAGAGCACUGCCUGGCAGCUGGCACCCAGUGAGCUUUUGUUGAGUAAAUACAUGCUGGAAGCUCCAGAAUUCUGUGCCUUCGGUAACAUCACCCCAUUUUUAUUUUCUGUAUUUCCUUCCUGGUGGCCCAGUUGCUCCUUGCUUUCCUCGAGCAUAAAGUUCCUUUAUCUUUUCAUUCCCACACAGUCCCUGGCUGUGGUUGAAAAUGGAGUCACCUCUUGGACCCCGGGGACCCCAGGAAGCGGGCGUAUUUCUGGAAUCUACUCCCGCUAUCAGCUCCCCAUGAGCUCAGGCCUGUGACUGACAGGGACAGACACAGAAACGGACACAUGAGGAGGACUUGUGCCUGAGGGUUCCAAACCGUCCUGCUGGCAAAAGACACACAGAAGGGGUGCUUCCGGUCAUUUGUUUAAGCCAGCGCUUCCCAAAGCCUGCGCCCAGAGGAGAGGGUCUACAGACCCUGAAGGACAGCUCUGUACCCAGUGAGCUUGGGAAACACCGAAUAGCCUGCCCUCCUUUUGGGACUUUAUAACGCAUGUGAACUCAUCAUAGACUCUGAGAUGUUCUACAGAAGGUAAAAAUGUUUGAUUUUGUUUA